rnacentral:rRNA from 1 species
UACGAAGGGGACUAGCGUUGUUCGGAAUUACUGGGCGUAAAGCGCACGUAGGCGGAUUUGUUAGUCAGGGGUGAAAUCCCGGGGCUCAACCUCGGAACUGCCUUUGAUACUGCAAGUCUCGAGUCCGAUAGAGGUGGGUGGAAUUCCUAGUGUAGAGGUGAAAUUCGUGGAUAUUAGGAAGAACACCGGUGGCGAAGGCGGCCCACUGGGAUCGGUACUGACGCUGGGGUGCGAAAGCGUGGGGGAGCAAACAGG